AUUGAACGCUGGCGGCAGGCCUAACACAUGCAAGUCGAACGAGUGGCGGACGGGUGAGUAAUGUCUGGGAAACUGCCUGAUGGAGGGGGAUAACUACUGGAAACGGUAGCUCAUACCGCAUACCAUCAGAUGUGCCCAGAUGGGUUUACCUAGUAGGUGGGGUAACGGCUCACCUAGGCGACGAUCCCUAGCUGGUCUGAGAGGAUGACCAGCCACACUGGAACUGAGACACGGUCCAGACUCAUACGGGAGGCAGCAGCGGGGAAUAUGGCACAAUGGGCGCAAGCCUGAUGCAGCCAGGCCGCGUGUAUGAAGAAGGCCUUCGGGUUGUAAAGUACUUUCAGCGGGGAGUCGUUACCAGCAGAAGAAGCACCGGCUAACUCCGUGCCAGACGCCGCGGUAAUC
rnacentral:rRNA from 1 species